GGGGGAAACAUCAGAUGUGUGAUCACUCUACAGACUGCUCUGACAACUCGGACGAGAUGGGCUGCUACCCGACUGAAGAGCCGUCCUCCCAGCCCACCAACACCAUCGGCUCCAUUGUGGGCGUUGUCAUGGCGCUGUUUGUGGUGGGCGCGGUCUACUUGGUGUGCCAGCAGUUCUCUGUCCCCAGAUGAAGGACGCACCGGGAGACGGUAACCAACGACCCCUCUGUUUCCCUGGGUUACGGCCCCUCUGUUUCCCUGGGUUACGGCCCUCACCCUGCCUCUCUGUCCGGGUCUCUGCCAGGUAUGUCCAGGGGAAAGUCUGUGAUUGGUUCGUUGAGCAUCAUGGGCGGGUCCAGCGGCCCUCCGUACGACCGCGCCCACGUGACCGGAGCUUCCUCCUCAAGCUCCUCCUCCACCAAGGGCACGUACU